rnacentral:lncRNA from 1 species
CCCAAAAUGUGAUACAAGGAGUGAUUCACCUGCCCACUUCCAUGUGAGUUUCCCACCUCAGAUGAACGAAACUGAAAUGGAACCACCUGUUUUGAAA